AAAUAUCCUAAAUGUUCACGUCUCCCUAAAAAUUCCCCCAAACUCUAACCCUUUCCCUUUCUCCUCUUUGAAAACCGCCACCGCCCUCUGCUCCUUUCUCUCUAACCUUUCUUCUUCACAUUAUCAUUAACUCUCCAUAAUCAACUUUAAGCUUAACCUUCACUUCCACGCCUCACUCUCUCUUUUAUCUUCUAGCUUCAUCGCAAAGAUAAUGCACAGGUUGCACUGCCCUUGAUGAAAUCGGGCCCCAAACGAGCAUGUUAAUGGUGGGUAUGUCGCUAGAUUUGUCAUCCGACCUCGUCCUGCCAUUGUUGAUUUUCAAUUUAGGUCCAAUAAAUUCUACAAAGCUCAUUCUUUAUUGAUUUAAUGAAUAUACGUUCUUUGAUUUUUGCAAGUGAGCAUGAUUGGUGUUGUUAGUGUGAUGUUUUUUGAGUGUAUGCUUUCUUGUGAGGUGUCAUCGCCGACCUCUUCUCUCUCCCUAUGCCUCGGUCGCUGCUGUCACCGGGCACGCAGUGGCGGCGGGGUUGAUCCUCGCAAUGACCCACGACUACGUUGUGAUGAAGAAAUUGAGAGUAGUGUUGUACCUGAGCGAGCUCGACAUUGGCAUGAGCCUACGGAUUUCUUUACAGCUCUGAUCAAGGAAAAAGUAAGCUCCAACGCUGCGCGGCGGGAGCUGGCACUCCGUACGGCGAAGGUCGACGCAGAGGCGGUGGUGCGGAUGGGGAUUAUCGAUGCGGCGUAUGAUAGCGCAGAGGAUGUGGCAGCGGCAGCGGUGCAAACGACAGCGUAUCUUAUUCGUCAUGCCGUCUAAUCUUUAACAAGGUUAGUUUUACAAAAUCCACUUAAGUGGGUCAUCCUAUAAUGCAAGCUGCAAUACAAAGAAAUUUGAAAGUGUUGUUUCCUUGAAGCUGGAACGAAUGAGUAGUAUAUUCAAAUAACAAUAUUCAUAUACAGGUGUCGGUUGGAGUCGUCAGCGAAAUGUCAGAUACUUGGACUCUAGAUCUUAGCAAAGCGUUCCCGCAAGAAAAAUUUGAAGAAUGCAACGAAGCUACCUACUUAUAGCUUUGAAACAAGGAAUUUUAUUCCUUACCAACGACCUUUGUCUAAUUUUCUUUUAGAAAUUUGGUAGAAUUUAGAGCUUUUUUUGUUAGCAACAAAACAAUACAGUUUAAUACUUUCUUGUUUAUUGGUCUUUGUAAUGAAGUUUUAUUUCAUAUUUGAAAUGAAUGAAGUAUUGGUGUUAUUAUUAAA